rnacentral:rRNA from 1 species
GCGGCAGGCUUAACACAUGUAAGUCGAACGUGAAGUCGCCUUCGGGUGACGGAAAGUGGCAGACGGGUGAGUAACGCGUGGGAAUCUACCUAAUGGUACGGAAUAACUCAGGGAAACUUGAGCCAAUACCGUAUGUGCCCGAAAGGGGAAAGAUUUAUCGCCAUUAGAUGAGCCCGCGUCGGAUUAGCUAGUUGGUGGGGUAACGGCCCACCAAGGCGACGAUCCGUAGCUGAUCUGAGAGGAUGAUCAGCCACACUGGGACUGAGACACGGCCCAGGCUCCUACGGGAGGCAGCAGUGGGAAUAUUGGACAAUGGGCGCAAGCCUGAUCCAGCCAUGCCGCGUGAGUGAUGAAGGCCCUAGGGUUGUAAAGCUCUUUCGGCGGGGACGAUAAUGACGGUACCCGCAGAAGAAGCCCCGGCUAACUUCGUGCCAGCCGCCGCCGAAUAC